rnacentral:rRNA from 1 species
UACGUAGGGUGCAAGCGUUAAUCGGAAUUACUGGGCGUAAAGCGUGCGCGGGCGGUUUUGUAAGUCUGACGUGAAAUCCCCGGGCUCAACCUGGGAAUUGCGUUGGAGACUGCAAGGCUAGAAUCUGGCAGAGGGGGGUAGAAUUCCACGUGUAGCAGUGAAAUGCGUAGAGAUGUGGAGGAACACCGAUGGCGAAGGCAGCCCCCUGGGUCAAGAUUGACGCUCAUGCACGAAAGCGUGGGGAGCGAACAGG